AUGGGGGGAACCCUGACCGAGCAACGCCGCGUGAGUGAAGAAGGUUUUCGGAUCGUAAAGCUCUGUUGUUAAGGAAGAACGAGUGUGAGAAUGGAAAGUUCAUACUGUGACGGUACUUAACCAGAAAGGGACGGCUAACUACGUGCCAGCAGCCGCGGUAAUACGUAGGUCCCGAGCGUUGUCCGGAUUUAUUGGGCGUAAAGCGAGCGCAGGCGGUUAGAAAAGUCUGAAGUGAAAGGCAGUGGCUCAACCAUUGUAGGCUUUGGAAACUGUUUAACCUGAGUGCAGAAGGGGAGAGUGGAAUUCCAUGUGUAGCGGUGAAAUGCGUAGAUAUAUGGAGGAACACCGGUGGCGAAAGCGGCUCUCUGGUCUGUAACUGACGCUGAGGCUCGAAAGCGUGGGGAGCGAACAGGAUUAGAUACCCUGGUAGUCCACGCCGUAAACGAUGAGUGCUAGGUGUUAGGUCCUUUCCGGGACUUAGUGCCGCAGCUAACGCAUUAAGCACUCCGCCUGGGGAGUACGACCGCAAGGUUGAAACUCAAAGGAAUUGACGGGGGCCCGCACAAGCGGUGGAGCAUGUGGUUUAAUUCGAAGCAACGCGAAGAACCUUACCAGGUCUUGACAUCCCGAUGCUAUUUCUAGAGAUAGGAAGUUUCUUCGGA
rnacentral:rRNA from 1 species